UCAAGGUUGGAAAAUCCCACUUUACUUCAAGUGAAGUCACUGGGUUGUCCCCAUGAAAUAUCUCCACAAUGGGUGUGCUAGACCUUUACUCUCUGUGGCACCACCAAGACCCCCUCACCCUGCCAGAGCCCUCUGAAGUGUACUCAGAAUGGAGGGGCUGGAAGUGGGGCCAGUGGUCCUGGUAGUCAGCCUCCCCUUCUGACACAAGAAUUAUCGUGGAACAGCUUGUGUGACCGAUCAACUGGUCUCUCCAUCUUUAAGCCAUUGUCUUGUUGACUCUGUUACUGCAGAGUUUGGGGAGGUCUCAUGGCUUCUCGCAUCCUAUUUCCUGAGCUUCCCUGAAGCCAACUUCUGGCCACUGGUAUGUGAUGCGAGCACAGUGCCUCCUCCUGCUCCUCCAGGAAGCUUCUGCUGAUUGAACGCAGGCCAGAUGGCGAGAUCCGGAGCAACCUUCUUAGAUCAAGGGAAGAAAGGGGCACAAGAGGGGAGUAGGUAACAAGAUAAAAGGAGCUCCCUCCCUGAUGACUACAGAGCCAUCGUGGCAGCCCUGGGCCUCCAUUUCAGACGUUCAUCUUGCCUAAGCCACCACCAUCAGGGUCUCAGUCAGUCAUCAUUCUCAUUUACUCGGGUGGCUGGGUGAGGGCGGAAUACUACCUUCCAGCUGUCUGAGAUUAAGCCUAAGCCACCACCAUCAGGGUCUCAGUCAGUCAUCAUUCUCAUUUACUCGGGUGGCUGGGCGAGGGCGGAAUACUACCUUCCAGCUGUCUGAGAUUAAGCAGAACAGCAGCUAAAGCAGUAACAGCAGGUCUCCUUCAGCAGCUUGCCACAGGGAAGAGGGUCCCGCGUGAACCGAACUCAACUUCCACCUGCGCAGAGGUAGCUACCAUUUGCGUAGAGGUAGCUGGGUCUUUAAGGUUAGAGGGAAGGCGCAGGGAGGGAGAGACGGCGGGUGGGGGUUGAACAAAGUGGAGAUUCACAAAAGCAGACUAGGGCGGGCGACGUGAUCAGAUGACCUGUGCGGGCGGCAGCCUCCUGCCCUCCUCCCCUUCGUGCGCCGGCUGGAGCGAAGAGUUCUUUUGACAGCCGUGAGCUUCCCCGCCAGGAACUUACUGGGGCUGCAUCACCCUAGAAACGUGGCUUUGGGCUGUGGAAACGCUGCCUCUGUGGAAGUCUCUCCUCGCGGGGGUGGACGGGUCGCUGCGCGCCCAGCGUUCUUCUGCGGUUCUCACAGCCCGCCGCCGCCGCCGCCUCGGGGACCUUUGCGGGGAGGCCUCAGGUCAGCGCCGCCCUUGCGAUGGCGGGAGAGCAGAGCGGCCCCAGGGCCUCUGAGCUCCGGCCCCGGCACGUCCCGCCCUCUCCUCCGCUUGCGGGAGCCGGGGCGCCUCGGAGGGAAACCUUCCGGACACAGGCCGGGAGAAGAGGGGCCGUGGCGCCAUCGCGCAGCUUCCUGGUUUCGGCCAUGUUUUUUUUUUUUUGAGACGGAGUUUCGCUCUUUUUGCCCAGGCUGGAGGGCAAUGGCGCCGUCUCGGCUCCCUGCAGCCGCCGCCUCCCGGGUUGAAGGGACUCUCCGGCCUCAGGCCGCGGUGUUCUUGUAAAUUAGAACCGGCCUAUGCGCCAAGCGCGGGUCUCGCGGCUGCGGAGAGAGGCCCAGCAGGGGGCGGGGAC
rnacentral:lncRNA from 1 species